rnacentral:tRNA from 1 species
GCUGAUGUGGCACAGAUGGUAGCGCACAUCCUUGGUAAGGAUGAGGUCACGGGUUCGAUUCCCGUCAUCAGCUCCA